GCUGAAUUAUUUUCCUUCCCAUAACAUGGUAUCAGGAAUGACUGCACAUUACGGGACCAUAGAGCAACACAAAGCCACAGCCUCUCAGAACUCCACCUGCAGUUUUUGAAUGCAUCUAGCCUGCAAUAUUGAA
rnacentral:lncRNA from 11 species